rnacentral:rRNA from 1 species
UACGUAGGGUGCAAGCGUUUAAUCGGAAUACUGGGCGUAAAGCGUGCGCAGGCGGCUUUGCAAGACAGAUGUGAAAUCCCCGGGCUUAACCUGGGAACUGCAUUUGUGACUGCAUGGCUGGAGUGCGGCAGAGGGGGAUGGAAUUCCGCGUGUAGCAGUGAAAUGCGUAGAUAUGCGGAGGAACACCGAUGGCGAAGGCAAUCCCCUGGGCCUGCACUGACGCUCAUGCACGAA